rnacentral:piRNA from 1 species
UGCAGAGAUGCGAUCCCUGUUGUCCCCUCC